AUUUCUGGCUCCUUUGCAAGCCAAGUUUUAGCUCAUUCUACCCCCUGGAUCUCACAGCCAGCCACAGAGGCUCCAUGGCUGGGGGGCAGGGGGGCUGGCUUCCAAGCUGUUUCUGAGGGCUUUAUUUACCUAGCCAGAGGCCCCCAGGAAUGUAACAGAAAGAGACUUGGCUUCCCUUCCCUAGGAUGCAGAAGGAGCAUUGACUCUAAGCUUGCCCGAAAGGCUACACUGGUGAGCAGCUCCUGCAUGCUGGAGGUAAGAUACAGCAGAGCCAGCUCAUGUCCUUCCCCGGGAGGCCAUGAAUGGUUAAGUUUGUGAAUGAAGCAGCAUUUGAACUUGAGGAGGGAAGCACAGAGAAGCAAAAGAGAACACUGUGCCCCAGGAACAGAAACUUUCUCUUUUUUUGCUCCAGUUGACCGGAGGUGCCCCCCAUAUGUUGAAACUGUCCCUGGAAGGAAAAAAGAUCAAAACCUGAAAAGCACAUAAAUCUAGCUAAAGGCCAUUAAGGUCUCUUCUUUUCUCCUGUGGUACUUUCAAAGGCCGGAGUGUGAACCCCUCCAGAAUGGGGGGGGGGGAACUCUGUUCUUUUUGGAGUUUGUGUGAUGGUCAGUUUUGACUCUGAAUCGAUUGCAUUAAUAAACGUUGAGAAGAAA
rnacentral:lncRNA from 1 species